rnacentral:tRNA from 1 species
GAAUAUGAAGCGAUUGAUUGCAAUUAGUUUCGACCUAAUCUUAGGUAAUUAUACCCUUAUUCUUUAAUUGAAGCCAAAAAGAGGCAUAUCACUGUUAAUGAUAUAAUUGAAUUUUAAAUUCCAAUUAAG